GGGGGGGACAAGAGGAGGACAGCAGCAGAGGAGGUGGGGGGGGGCAGGGGAGGACAAGAGGAGGACAGCAGCAGAGGAGGUGGGUGAGGACAAGAGGAGGACAGCAGCAGAGGAGGUGGGGCGGGGAGGAGGACAAGAGGACAAGAGGAGGAUAGUAGCAGAGGGGAUGGGGGGAGGACAAGAGGAGGACAGCAGCAGAGGAUGUGGGGGGGGGACAAGAGGAGGACAGCAGCAGAGGAGGUGGGGCGGGGGAGGACAAGAGGAGGACAGCAGCAGAGGAGGUGGGGUGGGGGAGGACAAGAGGAGGACAGCAGCAGAGG
ensembl:lncRNA